GCACUCACUUUGGCAGCACAUACACUAAAAUUGGAACGAUACAGAGAAGAUUGGCAUGGCCCCUGUGCAAGGAUGACAUGCAAAUUCAUGAAACGUUCCAUAUUUUU
ensembl:snRNA U6 U6 spliceosomal RNA